rnacentral:ribozyme from 12 species
AAGCUAAAAAGGUCUCGUCAGUUGGAUCCAGCCGUGGGUUUGCCACCUUUCCAGCAAUGAAAACCCCAUCGGGAGCAAAGGGAUCUAGACUUCCUACA